UUUGGAUAUUAUUUCACUGAUGCGUAGUUGAUUGAUUGAUUUGAGUUAUCAGAUCCCACCUUCAUUUGUUCAUGUCUUUAAAAGGGGGAUCAGCUACCAAGAGGAGCAGAUUGGAGAAUGAAGCACCAACAAUACAAGUUGUUGACGAUUUCAAUACACAGCUCUCUAGCAACAAAGUCAGGAAAGUGGUUAAAUCAGAGAAAAAUCCAUGAGUCGAUGGCUAACUUAGAGGUUUUUAUCAGCAAAAUAUAACAUUUUCUGCUCAUUUGUGACGUAAGUCAUUUUUUAUUAACAAAAAGAAGAAAUUUUCCACAAUUCAGUUGCUAAGAUUCAAAGUGUGCUGCCUCCAACUAAGACUCUUCUAACUUCGUGGAAAAAUGAAGAAUGAGCACAGAUCCCUAAAGUGGAACGAGAAAGAAGGCAUUUAUGAUUACUGGAAUAAACAGGAAAUUCAGUAGCAGGAAAAGGCCCGAUUCUGUUUGAGAAACCUGGAUGCCUCAAGGUCGUAAGUUUGAUAUUAUCGAUGUACUCCCAACUUCUGUUUUCAUUUCCUCUUCGUUUGAUAACACUAUAUGUGUUUGAACUGGGAAAAAGCUACCUAGAUGCUAAAAAUUUGAAUCAGCAAUUAAAUGGUUGAUCUCAUUGGUACUCUAACAUCCAUUAUUAUGGUAAUUAGAAGUAAUAUAUUUCUUCUAACUGAAUCUUUAUAAACAUAUGUUUUGAUGCACGGGCAUUUGGACAAUUUUUUAAGCUAAUAAAUGAUGGGUACCUUUUCCAUGUCGAUUUUGGUUCCAAUUUAGGUUAAGAUCCUAAAACAUUUCCACCGUCGAUGAAACUUUGCAAAGAAAUGGUUGAAGUAAUGGAUGGAACAAAAAAGAAUCUACAAGAAAGUGGUCUAUUUUUGCGUUGAAGUGACCUGUCUCAAGAUACACUCUAAGUUUUAUCACAGUUCUUCCAGAUUUGUUCGAACCCUAUUGUUCUGAAGCAUACAACAUUCUACGAAUAUCAAGCAAUCUCAUACCAAUGAUCAGGAGAAGGGCAUUUUUAAGGUCUUUUGUAUAUGAAGGAUUUCUUAUGGAUGAAGAAUGCAAUCAUUGAUAUCUAUCGCGAAAUCGGAGCUCAAGAGAUCGGCUGUUGCAGAUAAUGAGUCUGGAAAAAGUAAGCAUAGUGAGUUUAGGAUGUUCAUUUCCAAAGCUAAGGAUCCUAUUGUCUCCGGGAUAGAGGAUAAGAUUGCAACUUGGACCUUUCUACGCAAAGGUGCGGCGUCCCCUAAACGGUACA